rnacentral:rRNA from 2 species
CCGUUGCAAGGGACUCCGAAGAGCUGUGGCAAGGGGUGAAAAGCCAAUCUAACCUGGAGAUAGCUGGUCUUCUGCGAAACCCGUUUUAGCGGGUCGCCCAUUUAUUGAAAUUAAAUUCGUUACUAGACGGUACGGCACUGGAAGCCACGCAGCUUUUGCUGCAUAAUCGGGGGGCUGUCAUGGCUCUAUCGAUGGCUUCUAACCCCGGAAAUGUAUAGUAUACAAUGAUGGGCAAUCAGACGUAUCGUGAUAAGGCGAUUCGUCAAAAGGGCAACAGCCCAGAACAGGUGUGAAGGUCCCUAACAAGCUACUGAGUGAACACAAGGCAGUCCUCUCCAGUGUCUCUCCACAAAGUGGGCUUGGAAGCAGCCACCUUUUAGCGAUAGCGUAACAGCUCAGUGGUCUGAGCCUCCCUGUAAAAAGGGUAUAUUGCCUGGUGAGGGCGCCAAAAAUGUAACGGGUCUAUAGUAGUUGUCUCUCUGUUCCAGCUUUGGAUAUGGAGGGAGUGGCAGUUUCUUUACUGUCUCACCGAAACCCUGUCCUAGAUGUAAAAUUCUAGGGGUAGCAGAAUACCCAGCAAAUGGAAUGAAGCUUGCUCAUUGAGCCGGUGGACAUAGCUGGGCUAAGAAUGCUGACAUGAGUAGCCUAAAAGGAGGGUAAUUCCCUCUUCGCCGAAAGCAGAAGGGUUUCAUUUGUAAGGUCUAUACCUAGAUGAUUAAAGCAGCGGCCUCUAAGGUUCAGAGUAACAAAUUAGUUCCGAUGAGUAACUCUUCUAUAGGGCAGUAACCUUCCUUAUAAGUUUACCUUCAAGUAAUUAGAGGUAUACUUCAAAGAGUAAGGUUCGGGAAAGAGCCCUACAGAAUAAAUCUUAAAACCGUACCCUAAACCGACACAGGUCUGCAAGUAGAGCAUACUAAGGCGUAGAGAUAAUCGUCUUGAAGGAACUCGGCAAAAUGACCCCGUAACUUCGGGAGAAGGGGUGCCACUAAUAAGUGGCGGCACUAAACAGGGGGGCGCGACUGUUUACUUAAAACACCGGACUCUGCUAACACUAGCGUGGAUGUAUAGAGU